AGCUACUCAUUGACAGCCUCAGAGCUCAGCCGCUCAGGGCCUCAGGUUCAUCUCCUCCCUCUGCUUCUCUUCUCAAACCUUUCCCUUGUCUCCAAGAGAUCCUCCCUUGCUCGAGAUCUUCCUUCCCUACCUGGCGGCGACGACUGGGCGAACGGCGGCCCAGCCCUUUGCCGGCGACGAGCGCAUCCUCCAGAUAGAAGAAUGCGCAGAUAGUCUAAGCUUCCGAUCCAGACAUCAAGGCAACAAUGCUGCACCACCAUAGUGCGCUUGUCUCUGCGCACCCAACGAUUUGUUCACCCGCUAGGCUUGCUUGUUCUUCCAUAUUAUGUAACAAAGCAAACAGAAGAACCACCGCUUCACCGUCAACCAACCGUGCAAAGUUGCUCCAGCUGCGGGGGUGGCCUUCUACACGGCAGCGGCGCACCAUCCCUCUCGCCAGUGGCCAGUCACUGCCAGGAUACAGCCCCGACGAUGCUGAUCAAAGCCUUCAACCAAGCGACAACAUCUCUUUCGCUGCUGCAAAGGAGGCUGUCAUAGGAAUAAACAGUGGGAUCAAUUCUGGGAGUGUCAGCAGUGAGCUAAUUCUUCUAGCUCUACCGGCAGUCUUUGGUCAAGCUAUUGAUCCAAUGGCGCAACUUAUGGAGACUGCAUACAUUGGUAGAUUAGGUGCAUUGGAAUUGGCUUCGGCUGGUAUUGGUGUAUCGAUUUUUAAUAUUGUGUCAAAGAUCUUCAACAUACCAUUGUUGAGCAUUGCAACUUCAUUUGUGGCAGAGGAUAUUUCUAAAAGUGCUAUCAAGCAUCCUAGUUCAGGCAAAUUGGAGCUUCAAUCUGUAUCAUCUGCCUUGAUGUUAGCUGCUGGAAUUGGUAUAAUUGAAGCAUUAGCAUUGUUCCUAGGAUCAGGAUUGUUUCUUAAACUAAUGGGCGUGUCACCUGUCUCUCCAAUGUAUAAGCCUGCAAAACUCUUUCUUUCAUUGAGAGCUCUGGGAGCCCCUGCAAAUGUGCUUAUGCUGGCAGUCCAAGGUAUCUUUCGGGGAUUCAAGGACACCAAGACUCCAGUGUUUUAUAUAGGAUUGGGCAAUCUCUCUGCUGUAGUCCUUCUUCCUCUACUUAUAUAUGGCUUUCAGCUUGGCAUAACCGGAGCUGCAAUUUCUACUGUUGCGUCCCAGUACAUUAUUACAAUUCUUCUUCUUCGGUCUCUUAGUAAAAGAGCAGUUCUACUUCCUCCGAGACUAGACCAGUUAGAGUUCGGUGGAUAUCUGAAAUCUGGUGGUAUGCUGUUGGGGAGAACUCUCUCAAUUCUAUUAACUAUGACCAUUGGUACAUCAAUGGCUGCUCGACAAGGCCCAACAGCUAUGGCUGCUCAUCAGAUUUGUUUGCAAGUAUGGCUUGCUGUGUCUUUGCUUGCUGAUGCUUUAGCAGUUUCUGCCCAGGACACCGAUGAAUUUCUGUUGGAUGAUGAUCUAUCAUUUGCAAUAGUCCAAGUGACUCUGCUUACAUUUUUAGGCACUAAUAGCAAGCUCUUAUGCAAUAGUGGACUACAAAAGGGUUCAGAAGAUAGCAAUGUUUGUGUUGCAGGUAGGAGUAGUUAGUGGAUUAGCCUUGGCUGUUGGUUUGUAUGCCUCAUUUGGCAAUAUAGCUAGACUAUUUAGCAGUGACCAAGAGGUCCUAAUGGUUGUCAAAUCAUGUGCAUUGUUUGUCUGUGCCAGUCAACCAAUUAAUGCCCUGGCAUUCAUUUUUGAUGGUCUACAUUACGGUGUAUCAGAUUUUGACUAUGUUGCUCAAGCUACUAUUGCGGUCGGGGUCAUGUCAUCACUGGUCCUGUUAUGGGCUCCAUCUGUAUUUGGCUUGGCUGGAGUCUGGAUUGGUUUGACUACACUCAUGGGGUUGCGCAUGGCUGCAGGCAUCUUGAGGUUGCUAUGGAAAUGGGGGCCUUGGUCGUUUUUGCAUGAGGAGCCAUAAUUUGAGGUUUGUCAAUUAUCAGCCUUUGCAGCUCGGAAUAUGUCUUGGUUCUGCAGUAUAUUUCCAAUGAUGAACAUUGUUAACUUUACUGGAGAUUUGCAAAUAUUAUCUGCCAUCAAGUGUCAGGACUCACUCAACCCUACUCUGGUACUCCCCUGGCUCAAACAAGAUCCGACUUCAUUGCAAUUCUUGUUGGGAGAACUCUGGGCUGCUAGACCCUUGGAGCUGCCACAUGCUGCUUUCAUGGUACAAGCACAAGGAGCGAUACUUAGUGUCUAUGCAGCCAAUUAUCUCACUUGGCACAGGUGCUUCAGCAGAGGUAGAUUUGGAUCUGGUUGGAAGCCAUCUGUACAUUUUCUGGCAUGUUGUUUCCAGAUCAAUGUCAAUAGAGACUAGUUAUUAGUUUCAUAAUAUGAGAAGGUGCCAUUGUUCAACUCCGUUUUGUAACAUUUGCAACGAUGUCUAUUAAUUUAGUUGAAGCCGACGUCAGAUGCUGGUAGCUCUGUUUCAAAAGGAGGCGCUAGGCGGCGCCUGGGCACUAUGCAGAGUAGCACUGCCUAUCUGCUGCUGGGCGUUUUUCCACCUAGAGCAAUGUUUUAGCUUUCCACACCUGACUCUUGACUGUGGAUCCCAAUAGUAUUUCCGCCACUCAUAAAUUCUUUAGUAUGUAACUAUAUUAUUUUAUAACUAUUCGAAUAUAGCUUGUAUUCAACUAACUUGAAAAGUUUGAAAGUUUCUC